GGGCCCUACGGGAGGCAGCAGUCGGGAAUAUUGCGCAAUGGAGGGAACCCUGAUGCAGCGACGCCGCGUGAGUGAGGAAGUAUUUCGGUAUGUAAAGCUCUAUCAGCAGGGAAGAAGAUGACGGUACCUGACUAAGAAGCCCCGGCUAACUACGUGCCAGCAGCCGCGGUAAUACGUAGGGGGCAAGCGUUAUCCGGAUUUACUGGGUGUAAAGGGGGCGUAGACGGCAGGGCAAGGCUGGAGUGAAAGCCCGGGGCCCAA
rnacentral:rRNA from 1 species